rnacentral:rRNA from 1 species
AGAGUUUGAUCCUGGCUCAGGAUGAACGCUGGCGGCGUGCCUAAUACAUGCAAGUCGAGCGAACGGACGAGAAGCUUGCUUCUCUGAUGUUAGCGGCGGACGGGUGAGUAACACGUGGAUAACCUACCUAUAAGACUGGGAUAACUUCGGGAAACCGGAGCUAAUACCGGAUAAUAUUUUGAACCGCAUGGUUCAAAAGUGAAAGACGGUCUUGCUGUCACUUAUAGAUGGAUCCGCGCUGCAUUAGCUAGUUGGUAAGGUAACGGCUUACCAAGGCAACGAUGCAUAGCCGACCUGAGAGGGUGAUCGGCCACACUGGAACUGAGACACGGUCCAGACUCCUACGGGAGGCAGCAGUAGGGAAUCUUCCGCAAUGGGCGAAAGCCUGACGGAGCAACGCCGCGUGAGUGAUGAAGGUCUUCGGAUCGUAAAACUCUGUUAUUAGGGAAGAAGAUAUGUGUAAGUAACUGUGCACAUCUUGACGGUACCUAAUCAGAAAGCCACGGCUAACUACGUGCCAGCAGCCGCGGUAAUACGUAGGUGGCAAGCGUUAUCCGGAAUUAUUGGGCGUAAAGCGCGCGUAGGCGGUUUUUUAAGUCUGAUGUGAAAGCCCACGGCUCAACCGUGGAGGGUCAUUGGAAACUGGAAAACUUGAGUGCAGAAGAGGAAAGUGGAAUUCCAUGUGUAGCGGUGAAAUGCGCAGAGAUAUGGAGGAACACCAGUGGCGAAGGCGACUUUCUGGUCUGUAACUGACGCUGAUGUGCGAAAGCGUGGGGAUCAAACAGGAUUAGAUACCCUGGUAGUCCACGCCGUAAACGAUGAGUGCUAAGUGUUAGGGGGGUUUCCGCCCCUUAGUGCUGCAGCUAACGCAUUAAGCACUCCGCCUGGGGAGUACGACCGCAAGGUUGAAACUCAAAGGAAUUGACGGGGACCCGCACAAGCGGUGGAGCAUGUGGUUUAAUUCGAAGCAACGCGAAGAACCUUACCAAAUCUUGACAUCCUUUGACAACUCUAGAGAUAGAGCCUUCCCCUUCGGGGGACAAAGUGACAGGUGGUGCAUGGUUGUCGUCAGCUCGUGUCGUGAGAUGUUGGGUUAAGUCCCGCAACGAGCGCAACCCUUAAGCUUAGUUGCCAUCAUUAAGUUGGGCACUCUAAGUUGACUGCCGGUGACAAACCGGAGGAAGGUGGGGAUGACGUCAAAUCAUCAUGCCCCUUAUGAUUUGGGCUACACACGUGCUACAAUGGACAAUACAAAGGGCAGCGAAACCGCGAGGUCAAGCAAAUCCCAUAAAGUUGUUCUCAGUUCGGAUUGUAGUCUGCAACUCGACUACAUGAAGCUGGAAUCGCUAGUAAUCGUAGAUCAGCAUGCUACGGUGAAUACGUUCCCGGGUCUUGUACACACCGCCCGUCACACCACGAGAGUUUGUAACACCCGAAGCCGGUGGAGUAACCUUUUAGGAGCUAGCCGUCGAAGGUGGGACAAAUGAUUGGGGUGAAGUCGUAACAAGGUAGCCGUAUCGGAAGGUGCGGCUGGAUCACCU